ensembl:lncRNA
CUAGAAAGAACAUCGAACAAUCAAGAGCUGGAUGAUUGGAUUGGCUAUUUUAAAUGACUGCAUCUUUGGUUGUGACAGAUUUGGGGAUAGAUUGCAUCUUCCCGGCCUCACUAAGUGGGUUGAAUAGGUUGAGCUUUUUGUGGAAAGCAACCCCCUACCCCCUUGAGGAAAAAAAAAAAAAGCAACAUAAAACAAAUGAAGCUAUCACUCCGAAGUAUGCACUGUCCACUACUUUAACAGCCAAUUAAUUUGCUACGUACAUAAGAGCUGUAGGAGUUAAAAAUAUUUUUCCAGGACAGUGAUUUCUCUGCUUUACCGUAUCAACAACGAAUAAUGAUAAUUUGGUGGUACUGUGAUAGUUUUUAAUUUAACAUAUAAAUAGUGUGACGUGUUACUAAAGCCAUUACCCUAAUUCAGCAUAGUUAUUUGUAUAGGUUCUUGUGGUUUUAGCUGAUCUGUUAAGGAGGCAUUCCAAGGAGAAUGAAAGGGCGGUAUGAAGAAGCGAAGAUCUACCAUAUGUAAGCAAUACUGCAGAUUUCUCUUCUCUUCCACAGGUUCUGACAUUUGUGGCUUAGGUGAAGGCAAACGUCGCAAGAGAAAGACACGAUGGGGCAGCAGGCAGCUCUUGUGUCAAUGGCAUGGAAGUGGAUCUGCAAAGCUUCACCACUCGAGGAGAUCUAGAAGCAUGGAUCUGCCUUGGGAUUUUGCAAGCAAACAGCCUUUGUAGCGAGAGAGCUCUCAACACAGGAAAAUUCUAAACCAAAAAGGCAGUGGCAAGCCAAAGAGAGAGAAGAGAAAAUCUACACAUGGUUUCAAGUUUUCCCACUGUCUAUAAUAUGACUUGUUAAUACAUAUGAGAAACUGCACAAUGCAGUACCUUCAUCAAGAGCGGACUUGAGGCGAAUUAAGACCAUAUGACCAUGCGAGACUGAGAGAGAUAUAUGAUCUUUGUAGCCACAAUAAAAAGUAGAGGAGUAAUUUAAAAAUCAACUUAUUAUUGAGAAGAUUGCACAGAAGAAUUAAUCACUAAAACCCAAGGAGAGCUGUGACUGGGAGUAUGCAAAUGGUCAGAAUUACUCUUCUAGCCAUUAGUCCUAGGCAGAGAUCUUCUCCCAGAUGUUGAAAGGCAAGGAAUCAUGCACAGACAUUUUUUUCUUCUUUUUUUAAUAGAAGUCAUGGAAGAAAAAUCCAAAUUUAUUUUGUUUUCCCAGCGUAUUUUUUUUUCUGCGUGUGUGUGUGUGUGGUUGUCUGUGGAGUUUUGUGUUUGCUUUGCACUUCAAGCAAGCUCUCUGCUUUUCCGGAGAAUAAAUACUGAGAGGGAAGAAUGAAGGAAGGACUUUACCAAAAAUGUGCAUUCGGGAGAAGAUCUUUCUUGGGGACCUCAAAUAUCAGCACAGAGCAGGGAAUUGCUAGCGAGAUGACAGGCGGAUAAAACACUCCUCUACCUCCUUCAGAGCUUAAAACUUCCCAGAUCUACUUAUCUCUCAUUAAAGAACACUGCAGCCUCCUUGCUUUCAUUAGCUCAUUAUACAAAAGCGAGGUAAGCAACCUCAUAGCAAUGAGUCAGAUACUGUUUUUAGUCGUAUCUGCCUGUCUCUUCAUUGGACAUACGUCUUCCUCACACAAGCUGUUUCAAAACCUGAGACAGGAGCUACACAGUCUUCUUAUCGCUGACCGAUCAGACACUUCUGCAGCAUUUCAUCGUGCGGAAUUACUGUGCAGGAUUACAGUAAUAUAUUAUCCCCUUUCCUGAACAUCUUGUGUGUAAGCAGAAUAAAUUGCUUUUUAUACUUUAAGGGGAAAAGGAGAAAGCGAAGAAAGACAUAAGCAGACUAACAGAUGGGCACUGCAAACACGGCUCGGUACGCGCAUGUAAUUGUGCUUUUUUAGCUUGAUAAAAAGUAUUUUCUAUAUGAAACUUCCAGUUUACUGGCUAUCUAAUUACAUUGUAAGCCAUGGGGAAAAAAAUAAAAAUCACCCCGAUAAAAAGUUAAAGACAAAAUAUUCUAAAUAGCUUCCAGAGGAGAACUUGAUCGCUAACAGCGUGUGUGCUGCAGGCCAAAAUGUUCUUGGCUUCCUAAAAAAUAAAAUUCCAGGUUAAAGUCUCUGCAUGACUAUUAUACUUCGACUCAUUCCAUUGAGGCUGAGAUUAUAGAGACAAAAAAAAUGUAUUUUUGCGACUUGUUGUGCCAGUAUAAACAAAUACAAGUUCUUUCUUUAGUCAUUUGUAAGCUUAUUUGGAGGAACUCUAGAGAUGGGGAAAAUGAUUGAAUGCAGUAAUGUCAGAGAGGAGAAGGGGAAAAUGAAGAUAAAAAUGAAAUAUAAUAGAUGGAAAUGAUGAGAGCCAAGAUGGGAGGGGAGUAAAGACUGGAAAGAGUCUAAAUCUAUUGGGAAGUACUGGUAUGGUGAUUGGCUUUGCCUGUUGGAUGAGGACAGCUGGGGCAAACCUGGAGAGAUCCAGGUAUGGCUGCAAAGCAUACCCUAAGAUUCAUUAAUAUGACUUGCCAAGAACUGAAUGUGGCAGUCAUGCUAAUUACGUUACCUGUAACUAAAAUAUCUUUAAUUAUUUAAAAAAAAAUAUUAAAGUUAUGUCAAUGCAAUCUUCAAAAGUGAGACCUG